rnacentral:rRNA from 1 species
UACGUAGGGGGCAAGCGUUGUCCGGAAUCAUUGGGCGUAAAGCGCGUGUAGGCGGCUCGGUAAGUCCGCUCUGAAAGUCCAGGGCUCAACCCUGGGAUGCCGGUGGAUACUGUCGGGCUCGAGUCCGGAAGAGGCGAGUGGAAUUCCUGGUGUAGCGGUGAAAUGCGCAGAUAUCAGGAGGAACACCAAUGGCGAAGGCAGCUCGCUGGGACGUGACUGACGCUGAGACGCGAAAGCGUGGGGAGCAAACAGG